GAAUGACGGAUAUAUAUAUGUAUAUAUAUUGUGAACGAUAUGACAACAAAAUGUUUAAGAUAUGAUAUGAUUAUGAUAUGACAUAUGAAUGACG